rnacentral:rRNA from 1 species
UACGGGGGGGGCAAGCGUUGUUCGGAAUUACUGGGCGUAAAGGGCGCGUAGGCGGCUCUUCAAGUCAGCCGUGAAAUCUCCAGGCUUAACCUGGAAGGGUCGGUUGAUACUGUCGAGCUAGAGUGUGGAAGAGGCAACUGGAAUUCCGUGUGUAGCGGUGAAAUGCGUAGAUAUACGGAGGAACACCUGCGGCGAAGGCGGGUUGCUGGGCCAACACUGACGCUGAGGCGCGAAAGCUAGGGGAGCAAACAGG